rnacentral:lncRNA from 1 species
CAAGUUCCUCGUCUCCUCGAGGUUAAUGGGCCCAUUCUAGGCCCAACUAACACGUGGUUACUUUACCCAUUAGUAGUUUAACACGUGGCGCCUAUGAUUAUUUUCACUUCACUUGACUCGUAUCCACGUGUCCGUCAACGAACCAGCUAAAACAACUAACGGUUGUUGUUUUUAUUAUGGUUUUAUUUUUUUUAGUGAACACG